rnacentral:rRNA from 1 species
GACGAACGCUGGCGGCGUGCCUAAUACAUGCAAGUAGAACGCUGAAGAGAGGAGCUUGCUCUUCUUGGAUGAGUUGCGAACGGGUGAGUAACGCGUAGGUAACCUGCCUGGUAGCGGGGGAUAACUAUUGGAAACGAUAGCUAAUACCGCAUAAAAUUGAUUAUUGCAUGAUAAUUAAUUGAAAGAUGCAACUGCAUCACUACCAGAUGGACCUGCGUUGUAUUAGCUAGUUGGUGAGGUAACGGCUCACCAAGGCGACGAUACAUAGCCGACCUGAGAGGGUGAUCGGCCACACUGGGACUGAGGCACGGCCCAGACUCCUACGGGAGGCAGCAGUAGGGAAUCUUCGGCAAUGGGGGGAACCCUGACCGAGCAACGCCGCGUGAGUGAAGAAGGGUUUCGGAUCGUAAAGCUCUGUUUUAAGAGAAGAACGGGUGUGAGAGUGGAAAGUUCACACUGUGACGGUAUCUUACCAGAAAGGGACGGCUAACUACGUG